AACGAACGCUGGCGGCAUGCCUAACACAUGCAAGUCGAACGAGACCUUCGGGUCUAGUGGCGCACGGGUGCGUAACGCGUGGGAACCUGCCCUUAGGUUCGGAAUAACUCCCCGAAAGGGGUGCUAAUACCGGAUAAUGUCUUCGGACCAAAGAUUUAUCGCCUUUGGAUGGGCCCGCGUUGGAUUAGCUAGUUGGUAGGGUAAAAGCCUACCAAGGCGACGAUCCAUAGCUGGUCUGAGAGGAUGAUCAGCCACACUGGGACUGAGACACGGCCCAGACUCCUACGGGAGGGAGCAGUGGGGAAUAGUGGACAAUGGGCGAAAGGCUGAUCGAGCAAUGCCGGGUGAGUGAUGAAGGCAGUAGGGUUGUAAAGCUCUUUUAACCGGGAUGAUAAUGACAGUACCGGGAGAAUAAGCCCCGGCUAACUCCGUG
rnacentral:rRNA from 1 species